rnacentral:misc_RNA from 1 species
GAUGAAGAACGCAGCGAAAUGCGAUAAGUAAUGUGAAUUGCAGAAUUCAGUGAAUCAUCGAAUCUUUGAACGCACCUUGCACUCCUUGGUAUUCCGAGGAGUACGCCUGUUCGAGUGUUAUGAAGCUCUCAAAACGCAAUUGGCUUAAAACCUGAUUGUUGUUUUGGAUUUGAACUUUGCCGUGUUAUAACGGCUGGUUUUAAAAGUAUUAGCUGGUACUAGAACGAAUUGGUUCUACUCAACGUGAUAAUUAUCUGAUCGUUGAGGAUAUUCCUUUCACGAGGAAUGGCCAUAGUAAAUUCAAUGGACUGCUUCUAAUCUGGCUUUAAUUCUUUAUUGGAUUAACCACUUUUCAAAUCUGACCUCGAAUCAGGUGGGACUACCCGCUGAACUUAAGCAUAUCAAUAAGCGGAGGA